rnacentral:lncRNA from 10 species
UCUCGGCUCACUGCAACCUCCGCCCCACCAGUUCAAGUGAUUCUCCUGUCUCAGCCUCCCGAGUAACUGGGAUUACAGGUGUGCAUCACCACACCCAGCUAAUUUUUGUAUUUUUAGUAGAGACAGAGUUUCACCUUGUUGGCCAGGCUGGUCUCGAAUUCCUGACCUCAGGAGAUCUGCCCACCUCGGCCUCCCAAAGUGCUGGGAUUACAGGCGUGAGCCACGACACCCGGCCUAGGCUUCCUUCUUUAAAGACAAAUUUCCAGUGGGGCUCUGUAAGUAAUCCUCAUAUUUUCUCGUUGAGGAGUGUGGCCAGAGAAGGUGAGUCUUCUGCACGUAGCAGGGGGGAAAUGGUCAGGAGAUACUGUAAAAGCACUAAGAAAACCGGAAGGAAAAGGCCAGGCUCCAGGAGCACAGAGACUGGAUGGAUUCCUGCUUCCCUGUCACUCGGCUCUGUUCAGGCGGUGCAGUCACUUCCUUCACCUCAGUGUCCCUGUUUGUGCAAAUGAGGUGACUAUUGGUGCCGACCUACUUCCCAGGCAGUUUUGAAGAGAAGUGGCAAACGUUGAAGGGCGCACACUCUCCUUCCCCAAGCUCCCUCCCUCCCCACGUGUGCACCCAGAAGGAAAUAAAAGCCGUAAUUUGCACUGGCGAGUCGGCCCGCCUCGUCGAGGGUUCCGCUGAGCUGCUCACAAGGGCGUGCGGAGGCCCGCGGCCGGCCCUGGCCCCUGUGGUGGCAGCAGCUGGCUGGCUUCCCGGGCGGCUACCUCCAGCUGCAGCUGUCGGUGCUAUUUGCAGCUCUCCACAUCCUGAGAGCUGGACGCCGAGGACCGCUCCCUGGAGGGCGUGCGUAAAAUGCAGCAGCGGAGCGGUGAGGAGAUUACCGGAAAAACUGGGAGCGGAGUCAGGCUCGUUCUGGAGCAGGGAGAGGCUUGGGAAGUUGCGAAACGUUGACCUGCAGGGUCUUGAGGAACUGUCGGCCUGGGCUGUCCCCGUGGGUCAUUGAACAUUAAUCAGCCACCAGUCCUCGACCAAGCCAACCGAAAUAGAGUCAGCAGGCAGAAUGACGAAUACAGUUUGAAAGGGAACGAACUUACUCUUAUUCUCUCCUUGGAAAGGCCUUUCCAGACUCUCGAACUCACCCCUGUCACAUUACCCUGUUGUGUUAUCUUUGUGGGCCUGCGCAGCACCUGAAAUGAUCUGUCUUAGCAGUUCUACUUUUGAGGUAUCUGAAGACCCACACAUGCCUGAGAGAAAUGUACAGAUGUUCAGCGCAGUACUGUUAAACAGCAAAAAAUAGGAAACAAUCUAAAUGUCCAUCAGUAAGGGAAUGAUGAAAAAUAUUAUGGAUCAUAUACAAGUGAGAUCGAAAAAAGAAAAAAUAUGUAUUAUGGAGCACCAUACUGUGGAAUGUCACGUACAUGACUGAAUUAUGUGACUAAAGAGAACAAUGAAUAUGAGUACAUAAUUUACAAGGAUCUCUCUAAUCCCUUUUCCACUUAUUUUUAAAAUGGUAUUUAGUAUAUCUGCAAAAUUAUUUAUUUCUAGUAGACAAGGCCUCACUAUGUUGCCCAGGCUAGUGUCAAACUCCUGGCCUCAAGUGAUCCUCCCACCUCGGCCUCCCAAAGUGCUGGGAUUAUAAGUGUGAGCCACUGUGCCUGGCUUUCCACUGACUUUCUAUUUCUGGAUUCCAGAGUCUGCAUACCCUUGCCCACCACUGCUCAUGCUCACUUACAGGUUUAGUCAUACUAUUGCAGAUUUUAUUCCUACUUCCUUCUUUUCAGUGGAUGCCCAAUAAAUUCAACUAUUUAAGCUAAGCACAGUGGUGUGUCCCUGUAAUCCCAGCUACUUGAGAAACUGAGGCGGGAGGAUUGUUUGAGCAGAUUUGGAGACCAACCUGGGCAACAUAGAGAUUCUAUGUAAUCUCUCAUGUCAAAAUAAGUAAAAAUUCCACUAAUUAGAAGGUCCAAACCAAUGCACAUGUCUAAAGUCAUCUAGCAUUUCUUCCUGGUAGAGAUUACCUUAGACUGAACCCCCCUGGAAGACGAGCAUUACAUAUUCUGGAGUGUGGCAUAUUAUGUUUGUGUCAUUCCAUGUUGUAUGGUUAUCUGUCAUGAUGUAUCGUGAAACAAGCAAUUCUAUAACAGAGCACUAUUUUGCCUCAUUACUCUGGGAGCAAUGUGGCAUAGACCCAUGGAAUUUCCCAAGUUGUGGCAAGUGUUAUUAGCACUGCCUUGGUAUUAAGAGGACAAGAAAAUGAACCACCAUCUUUUGCUGGAUAGACAAUCAAAUCACUUUCUGGCUUUUAUCUACUUUUAAAAUACAUUUCAAGGGUCAUUUGAAAAUGACACAAAGCACAAAUAUGAAAAGAAAUUCAAAUAUUAUCACACUCCCUAAUAAAACAGCCUAAUUACCAAAGGCUCACAUUUUAGCAAGUUAAUUCUAAGACUUAAGCUGUGUACGGUGUGUGCAAAUUUGCAGAUACCUUACCAUCACAUGCAAGUGUCUUACUGCUACUGAAAGCUAUCAGACCCUUUCAGGAGGCGUGUUGUACCAAGCAGACCUAAAUGUGAACUUUCAUCAAGGACCUUUUUAGGAGGCGUAUUGUACCAAGCAGACCUAAAUGUGAACUUUCAUCAAGGACUAUGUGAUGUCAAGCAAGGCAGUACCCAUGUAUUUCAUUCAAAAACCAGUUGUCUCUCCUGUGUUUUUUUUUUUUUUUUGAGAUGGAGUCUUGCUCUGUCACCCAGGCUGGAGUGCAGUGGCACAAUCUCGGCUCACUGCAACCUCCGCCUCCCGGGUUCACGCCAUUCUCCUGCCUCAGCCUCCUGAGUUACUGGGACUACAGGCGCCCAGCACCACGCUUGGCUAAUUUUUUGUAUUUUUAGUAGAGGCGGGGUUUCACCACGUUAGCCAGGAUGGUCUCAAUCUCCUGACCUCGUGAUCUGCCCGCCUUGGCCUCCCAAAGUGCUGGGAUUACAGGCGUGAGCCACUGCGCCCGGCCUCUCCUGUAGUUUUCAACAUAGUUAAAUCCUACAAUGUCUGAGCAAUGGUUACAAUUCCUUAGGUAGUAAGGGAAAUACCUGUUGAAUGGCAGUUUGUGUUACAUGGGCGCUUUUCUUAUCUUUAUCAUUUAAUCAUUACCCCUCGGGUACACAGGACACACAAAUUUCAUUUUUCAGAUUUCACUUUA